rnacentral:sRNA from 1 species
GCCAGGUGUGGUGGCAUGUACCUGUAAUCCCAGCAGCUUGGGAGGCUGAGGCAGGAGGAUCGCCAGUACAAAGCUAGCCUCAGCAACUUCACGAGGCCCUAAGCAACUUCAUGAGACCCUGUCUCUA